UACGUAGGGUGCAAGCGUUGUCCGGAAUUAUUGGGCGUAAAGAGCUCGUAGGCGGUUUGUCGCGUCGAAUGUGAAAACCCGGGGCUUAACCCCGGGCCUGCAUUCGAUACGGGCAGACUAGAGUUCGGUAGGGGAGUCUGGAAUUCCUGGUGUAGCGGUGAAAUGCGCAGAUAUCAGGAGGAACACCGGUGGCGAAGGCGGGACUCUGGGCCGAUACUGACGCUGAGGAGCGAAAGCGUGGGGAGCGAACAGG
rnacentral:rRNA from 1 species